rnacentral:lncRNA from 1 species
GGGACAGUGACUUGCGACGUGAUUAUCACAUGGCAAAGUUGUGAAGUGAAUUUCACUUCACAAAGUUUUGUCUAUUGUAAUUCAGAAAAGCAGCGAAGGGGACAAUGACUUGCGACGUGAUUAUCACGUGGCAAAGUUGUGAAGUGAAUAUCAUUUCACAACUUUAUUUUUUUUAUAAAAUAAAAAAUUGUAAUUAUUAUUUUACGUUUUAAUAUACUAAGAUUAAUAAUAAAG